rnacentral:rRNA from 1 species
AACGAACGCUGGCGGCAGGCUUAACACAUGCAAGUCGAACGCUGUAGCAAUACAGAGUGGCGCACGGGUGAGUAACGCGUGGGAACGUGCCCUUCAGUACGGGAUAACACCGGGAAACUGGUGCUAAUACCGUAUAUUCCCCCCGGGGGAAAGAUUUAUCGCUGAAGGAUCGGCCCGCGUAAGAUUAGGUAGCUGGUGGGGUAAUGGCCUACCAAGCCUACGAUCUUUAGCUGGUCUGAGAGGAUGAUCAGCCACACUGGAACUGAGACACGGUCCAGACUCCUACGGGAGGCAGCAGUGGGGAAUAUUGGACAAUGGGGGAAACCCUGAUCCAGCCAUGCCGCGUGAGUGAUGAAGGCCUUAGGGUUGUAAAGCUCUUUUGUCAGGGAAGAUGAUGACGGUACCUGAAGAAUAAGCACCGGCUAACUUCGUGCCAGCAGCCGCGGUAAUACGAAGGGUGCUAGCGUUGUUCGGAUUUACUGGGCGUAAAGCGCGCGUAGGCGGCG